UGACCCCCUUCCCGCCGCCAGCACGCAGCGGAGCUCCGGGCCGGCUCUCCCAGCGCCCAGCCCGGCCGCUCCUCCGCAGCGCGAGGGCGGCUUCCCGGGUGCCCCUCCCGGCGCCAAUCCCCCGCCGGCCGGAGGAGGCGCUCCCCUGGCGCCCGCUGCCGGUGUUAGGUGGGCCGAGCCCCGCCGGCGAACCCGGGGCCCCGCCGGCGUUGCCCCUUCGCCUGCAGAGGGAUGCGCUCGGAGGCGGCGCCGCAGCCCGGCGGCCUGGAGAGGUUCGCCAGUCCCGGCAAGGGCCGGGGCCUGCGGGCUCUGAGGCGCUACGCCGUGGGAGAGCUGCUCUUCAGCUGCCCGGCCUACACCGCCGUGCUGACCGUCAGCGAGCGCGGCGGCCACUGCGACGGCUGCUUCGCCAGGAAAGAAGGACUGUCCAAGUGUGGAAGAUGUAAGCAGGCCUUUUACUGCAAUGUGGAAUGUCAGAAGGAAGACUGGCCAAUGCAUAAGCUAGAAUGUUCCGCCAUGUGUGCUUUUGGGCAGAGCUGGAAUCCCUCGGAGACAGUGAGGCUAACGGCAAGGAUCCUUGCCAAACAGAAAAUUUACCCUGAGAGAACACAGUCAGAGAAGCUGCUUGCUGUGAAAGAAUUUGAAUCACACCUUGACAAACUAGACAAUGAAAAGAGAGAGCUGAUUCAGAACGACAUUGCUGCUCUUCAUCACUUUUAUUCAAAGCACAUGGAGUACCCUGACAAUGCUGCUCUUGUAGUUCUCUUUGCACAAGUUAACUGCAAUGGUUUCACGAUUGAAGAUGAAGAACUGUCUCAUUUGGGAUCAGCCAUAUUUCCUGAUGUUGCACUGAUGAACCAUAGCUGUUGCCCAAAUGUGAUCGUAACUUACAAAGGGACAGUGGCUGAAGUAAGAGCUGUGAAAGAGAUUGAACCUGGAGAAGAGGUUUUUACCAGCUAUAUUGACCUGUUGUAUCCCACAGAAGACAGGAAUGACAGGUUAAGAGACUCCUAUUUUUUCACUUGUGAUUGCAGGGAGUGCACUAUGAAGGAAAAGGAUAAAGAGAAACUGAAAAUCCGCAAGCUGAAUGAUCCUCCAUCAGCAGAGGCGGUACGAGACAUGAUCAAAUAUGCCAGGAACGUGAUAGAGGAAUUCAGACGAGCCAAACACUACAAAUCUCCCAGUGAAUUACUGGAGAUCUGUGAGCUCAGCUUGGAUAAGAUGGGUGCAGUGUUUGAAGACAGCAAUGUCUACAUGUUACAUAUGAUGUACCAGGCCAUGGGUGUCUGUCUGUAUGUGCAGGAUUGGGAAGGUGCACUGCGUUAUGGGCAAAAAAUUAUCAGACCAUACAGUAAGCAUUAUCCCUCCUACUCGCUGAACGUUGCCUCCAUGUGGCUGAAAUUAGGGAGACUGUACGUGGCACUGGAGAACAGACCAGCUGGAGAGAAAGCCCUGAAGAAGGCAAUUGCCAUCAUGGAAGUAGCACACGGGAAAGAUCAUCCAUACAUUUCAGAGAUCAAAAAGGAAUUAGAGGACCACUGAGCCUUUGAAUCUAUGCAAUCCUUCAAACCUUUAUUUAAAAAGCCUUGUUAUGGAAACCUUCAGGAGCGCUUUGAAAAGCGUGACUUAGCUGAGAGAAAGGAGAAAAAGGGCCGAUGAAUUCUGUGCGUCGUAUAGGAAAGCCACCACCUUUCCCUCAGCAGUUCAGCUGCAGGUCCAUCACAGCUCCUAGCAGGUAGGAAUUUGUCACUGUAAGUACCUGGAGCUCAGCAUGCGAUGCACAGAGCCUGCUGGCACCCGUCUCAGAGCUCAGAAGCGUUGCACAAGAUAUGAAUUGUGCAACUUCUGGUAUUUCAAUCCCCCUUAUGAGUUAAGAUAAACUUAUUACAGUGGGUUAAAGCUAUUCUACUAGCUGUUACUCUUAGUGGAGGGACAAGACCCUUUUCUGAGGAAAUAAUCCAGAGGACAUCUGCUUUCCUUACACAUCUGUAAGGCUCUGGAGUUUUUUUCCCCUCUCUUUAGAUUGAUGGCAGGAGAUUUUUUUUUUAAAGGAGGAAGGGAGGAAGAGGAGGAAGAGAGAGUGGCUCGGUACUUCCAGUACCAUUCAGAGUUAUGUAUAUUGCACAGUAAAACUAGAUGACUGUUCUUUACUGCUUUCACGGCUUAGAAAGUACAGUGAGAGCUAGCACGUCACUCCUGUUUAAAAGUAUCUUAUUUUCUUACUUGUAAGUGUUCCUCUGAAAAUAAAACACCUACAGAGCAAUGGUUCACCAGAUCGUUUUGCUGAAAGCUGUCAGUGCUCUUUAGCAAGCACUUGGUAGUGGAAUACAUAAAACUGCACCAGAUCUUACGAUUCCAGAGAUUCAGGACCGUUUAACCACAGACAAGCCUAGAAAGGAUGUACCAGCUGCCUAUUUCAAAAGCCUACCUUAACCUUGUCAUGCAGACCCUUGUGUAGGGAAAUAGCACCUUCACGUCAGAGGUGAGAAGUCCAGGCUCUGAUCAGAGCUAUACCUCAACAUUAGAGAAUGAAGAGCAGCUUAAUUUAAGCACAAGUAGCUUUCCCUUGAGACACUGGUGUGCCAUUUAUAGAAGGUUCUUCAGAUCUCAGUGUAGCUUCAGUUAUGCCAAUCAGGCUAACAUGGAAAACUAACACAGGCACAGAAGGUGCAAAUACAGACCAUGCUUAACCAGCAGAGGAAAGAACUCAAGCACUGUUUUCCUUGAAAAAAAUGGUUUAUUGUAUAUUGUGAAUAUGAAGGACAGCCUUACCAAAAAAAAAACAACUUA